rnacentral:tRNA from 1 species
UUCCUGAUAGUCCAUAGCUAAGACUCCAUGCUUCCAAUGUAGGGGGUCCAGGUUUGAUCCCUGGUCAGGGAA